AAUCAGGCCCGACUAGACCAAGUCAUUGCUGGGGCAAUCCACAAGUCAGUUCGAAGAGAGCUUGGACUGCCAGAAGGUAGCCCUGCCCCAGGCUUAUUGCACUUGCUGACACUGAUAAAAGAUAAGGAGGCAGCAGAGGAAGAAGUCCUUCUUCAGGCUUAAUUAGAAGGACAUUUCACUUGACCCAAGACCAGCAAGGCUGUCAUGAGCAGAACAUGAUGGAGGAGCUCAUUGAAGUGAUCAGCCCAUCCCCACUUUGUGCUGCCAAAGUAACUUGCCCUUUGUCGUGUUGUUCACCCCACUGAAUGUCUCCCCAGUGUUUUACUGGUACAAAUGAUGUCAUUCUACACUGGUAAUUAUUUAAAUCAAAAGGUCAUCUAGUACAGUGUUCUGCAAAGCCGGAGUUUAUAUGCAUGUUUAAUAGUCUUAUGUGAUGGUGCUGUCCGUUAAAAAUAAUUUUCAGGUGUUGCCCACAUUUAUGCUGAAGACCCUGAGCCAAGGCUAGCUAAGUUAUUUAAAGUUUCUUUAUUAUAAAUCAGUUAUUGAUUCUGUGCAAUCAAAAAUCACAACUGAGUGCUGUGGUCAAUUCUACAACUAUCUUUAGGUUUGUGAUAUAUCUGAUGUGUUGCCAAAGGGUCUGCUUCUAAAUGUCAUUUUCUUAGAGUCAUAGUAUAAAUAAAGAAAUGCUAAUAAUAAAAAAAAGAAAGAAAA
rnacentral:lncRNA from 1 species